AUUGAACGCUGGCGGCAGGCCUAACACAUGCAAGUCGAACGAGUGGCGGACGGGUGAGUAAUGUCUGGGAAACUGCCCGAUGGAGGGGGAUAACUACUGGAAACGGUAGCUAAUAACGCAUACCAUUGGAUGUGCCCAGAUGGGUUUAGCUAGUGGGGGGGGUAACGGCUCACCUAGGCGACGAUCCCUAUCUGGUCUGAGAGGAUGACCAUCCACACUGGACCUGAGACACGGUCCAUGCUCCUACGGGAGGCAGCAGUGGGGAAUAUUGCACAAUGGGCGCAAGCCUGAUAUAGCCAUGCCGCGUGUAUGAAGAAGGCCUUCGGGUUGUAAAGUACUUUCAGCGAGGAGGCGUUACUCGCAGAAGAAGCACCGGCUAACUCCGUGCCAGCAGCCGCGGUAAUAC
rnacentral:rRNA from 1 species